AUUUGUCUGGUUAAUUCCGAUAACGAACGAGACCUUAACCUGCUAACUAGUUCUCAAUACUCUGUAUUCUGCAUCUUCUUAGAGGGACUAUGUAAAUCAAUUACAUGGAAGUUUGAGGCAAUAACAGGUCAGUGAUGCCCUUAUAUGUCCUGGGCUGCACGCGUGCUACACUGAUGCAUACAACAAGUGCCUAACCAGACAUGGUAUGGCAAUCUCGAAUAUGCAUCGUGAUGGGGAUAGAUCUUUGCAAUUAUAAGAUCUUGGACGAGGAAUUCCUAUUAAGUGCAAGUCAUCAUCUUGGCAUUUGAUUAUGUCCCUGCCCUUUGUACACACCGCCCGUCGCUCCUACCGAUCCGGGUGAUCCGGUGAACCUUUUGGACUCCGUACGGGGGAAGAUAAGUAAACCAUAUCACCUAGAGGAAGGAGAAGUCGUAACAAGGUUUCCGUAGGUGAACCUGCRGAAGGAUCA
rnacentral:rRNA from 1 species